CCUUUGUUAACACCUGGGUCUCUGUGCCCUUCUGGAAUUCCCAGAGGGGUGGAAGCAGAGCACAGGUCCUGGGGCCGGGGGUGCCUCGGGGUGUUUGCACAACAACACAGCCUUGGCUACAAAGUACCUGCUGGGAUGGCCAGGACCAGAGCAUCCCUGAGUGAAGCACUGGAAAUUCCAACAGCUGCUGAUGUGGCUGCUGGAAGAGCUGGGCAGGAAUUUGACUGGAGAAGGCUCUGAAGCCACACUGGCUCAGCCAUGGGGCUGCUCUGUCCUGGCACAGCUCCCACACACUGUGAUCCCGUUACCAGUGGGGAGCAAGCACAGCCUGGACCAACCACAGCCCAAGAGCUGUCACAGAGGACACAUCAUUUCAGUGCUGGGAUCAUGGAGAAAAAGCCCCUUUGAGUCUGUGCCCACCAGGUAUGAGCAUUCCCCAAAAGAGCCUGGAUCAGCCAGACAGGGUCUUGAUGUCCCCACCUCUGCCAUACCCACAUACCAGUGCUUGCUGAGCUUGUUUCUAAACCACUGAUGAGCAAUAUGAGAGUCAAAAAAUGACAGAUUACCCAAUCUCCCAACUAGAGCCCCUAAUUAACCCAAAACCCAGUGGCCUAUGGGGUUACCAGGGAGCAAAUAUUUGUGUGGGACUCUCAAAAAGUGCUGCACAUUUGUAGCAGGGGUUUUUUCGCUUGCUCUUGGCUUUUCUCAUGGAAAACCCCAGGACGAAGUGAGCUGCUGCAGUUCCUGUAAAUCCUGAAUUUGAGCUCAGCCUGCAUCCUCUGGGCAGGGAACAUCACUCUGCUGACCAGGAAUAAAACCUGGGUUGGAAAAGCUGGAGGAAACCACCCAAGGGACACCUUGUAAGCAGCAGGAAAGAGAAGGUGCUGCUGUUUUACCUGCACAGUGAUGGGGCAAUGCUUGUCCGUUCACUCCAACAGGCCUGGCUGUAGAGUGUCCCCCAGAGAUUUGGGCUUUUUAGGACUGACUUCUGGAGAGACACCUGAUCUUGGGGUACACCCUGGGCCUUUGUCUUUCAGCACUUUGCAGCAUUUGUUUGCUGCAGUGGCAAAGCUUUCUCUCCCAUUCAUCCCUAUCUGCUCUUUACAAAGGCUGCUUGUUUUCCCAAGUGUUGCCUUUUUUUUUUUUUUUUUUUUUCCUUUCACGUGUGAUUUAAUUCACACAAACUCCUUCCUCUUCUGGAUAUUGAUCUUGGCUCCUUACUGGUUAAAAUAAAGUAAAUCUUUCAUAA